ensembl:lncRNA
GUCAAUGGUAUUAUGACUUACUAUACUAAGGAGUUUUGUUUAUUUGAGAUCAGGGAAAAAGACAAAACCAGGUCAGGAAUUGAGGGUCUUUUCCCUGAAUAAGUUUGUCAAAGUUAGAAGGGGUUAGAGAGGAACAUGGGAGACUGAUUUCUCAAAACUUCAUUUUAUCUAAAUAGAGCAGAAAUUGCUUGAAUUUCAUGUUAGCUAGAAAAGACAAGAUUUGAAAAUACCAAGCUAACUGUCUUUUUCACAUGAGGGAAAGAGUCAUCAAAUUAAAACAAGCAUGUGAUUGACAGGGCCACUCUUACUAAGUGGCAGACCUUUCCAGAAGCUUUGUUGGUAGGUAGCUUUUUACUUAUACAGAUAAAUGUACGACUAUCCAAGAUGGCAUCCUGAUUUGGAAAUGUGUGUUAAUAGAGGUUUGCUAUUUUUUCCAGUAGGGUUUAUUAUGUAGAAAUUCCUAUUAAAAUGUUUCCAUUAGAUCAUCACAGCCUACCCAAUAAAUCACAUGAGCUUUCUUUGAAAUUUCAUACUCAAAACUACUUUCAAAUGUGCUAUCCUAUCAAAAUAUUUGAAAACAUUGGAAGCCUAAAACUACUGAAAGUAUAUUUAAUUAGGGUAAAAGUUCAAUUAAAACUUUGAUCCUGAUACUAUUAUUGUGUUAUUAAAAGCCUCUCUCCUUCAUAAACAGUUUCUCAAGAUUACUAGUGUCACUGAGAGAUCUGUGUAUUCAGCAGACUAAUAUAAAAUUAAACACACCAGACUAAAAUUCAGUGAUUUCUGGAGGUUUAUUUAUCUUUUAACUGAUUUAAAAAAAACACAAAACAUAUAAUUCCAGCAUUAUAAUCAGUGUUAGAUAUUUUUUGUUGCAAGAUAGUGUGGUUUAGGUAUGCUAAAGGAUUGCAAGGAUGUUACAUUUGCCUUGUUAUUAGCAAAGGGAAUUGUCUCUCUAAUUUUUCAAAUAUCCACAAAUCCCCAGGAAUUUACAUGGACCAUGUAUUUUGGGACUUGGGUUCCAGGCUAAGACAGCUUGUGUGAAUAUAUGGGUUCUGUGAAGAAGAAAGGAGUUGCUUUCAGCACAAUGUGACUGUGGGCUGUUUUCCACUUGUGAUACAUCUUUGUUCAUUUCAUCCAGAGCAUUAAUUAGAAUGUCCAACACAAUCACAAGAGAUAAAGGUGAACUCUCUUCCAAUAAUUGCUAACAGAAAACAUUCAUCAGAUUUUCAACAUGAAUUUUAAGGAUUUAAAUCUUGUCUUAAUGAAGACACUAGGGCUAUAAUUCAUGGUCAGCUUCAUAAACCACAUCUUACUUUCUGGACUUUUCCAUGCCCCCUGGUUUUUCCUUUUCUUCUUUUCUUGCACUAAAAGUUAUCUGGAUAAACUAGAAUAGUGCCAACUUGUUUGAUUUGCUAACUGACUUUCUUGUUGAUUCUUUUGUGUGUGGGAAAUAGGGCUUUCUGUGUGUCUUAAAUCACAGAAAAACAGCAAACUGCCAAGGAAAGGACAUCACAAUAUUUAAUUAGAGUGAAUACAUUAGAGAAAUAUGAGUUUUGGAUAAUUGUAAGAGUUGAUUUUUAUACUUACAACUAUCUUUAUUAUUUGAAUAUGAAUCAGAUCCAUGUAGCAUUUAAAACAAACUUAUUUUUAUUAUAAUCCUCACAAGUCAUAGGUUUUUUUCUUAAAAUUGGAGAACAUACAUGUGAAUUACACAUGUAAAAUUGUAAAUGAUUGAAUCUUUCUCACUUCAUUUCCAAACGAUAGACCUGAUGGUGAACCUAAAGAAGUCAGCUACCAUAUUGAACACAAGGGUAUUAAACCCCACUUUAUACAGUAGAGGUAUCUGUGCAUUUUCCACAACGUUUUCUUUCACAAUAGGACCACAACAAAUAUUUAUGUAAAUAGAUAUUUUUGGGUGAUAUUUUGUGGUACAUAUAACUUUUUUUAGUGUUUCACAGCAUUAUGAUUUCAUUUAAUUUGUAUUAAAUAAUGUUUUUAGGUCCAAGUAGACUUGAAUGAACGUCAUCAUUGUUAGUAUUAUUAAAACUUAUGUCAACAGGACUGUCACUCAUCUGUCCCAUAGUUUAGAACAUGACCUGGCUAUCUGGCGUUGUUGCAAGUGCCUUAAACUCAUGGCAUCUUAUUAAGAAAACAAAUUUGGUGUUAUGCUGCAUGACAAAGACGAACACACCUCAAAAUGUUGUCCUUUCUUAGCUUGCUGCGUUUUACAGUUCUUUCUGCUAACAAUUUAUAAGCCUUUAUUAUAUAAUAUUGAUGAAUUACAGAAAUGAUGAAGUUGUUAUCUUAUUUCUGUUCAAUGUACCAGAGCUGUGUGUCUGUUCAUGAGAUACAGCGUCAUUUCUGUGAAAUGUAUAAAUGUAUGUGCAGGUCAAAUUACUAUAUGACAUACUAUCAGUCUGUAUACAGGUAUUCCUGUUUUGCUCAGCUGUGCAGACUCAGUAAAUUUAAAAAAAAAAAAAAGUAGUGCAGUCAAAUCCUAAUGUAUCUCAUUUUAUAGACUCCAUUAGCAAUGGUCCAACCCAAAAGAAAAAAUGGAAAUGACUGCUCACCCCACCUCGUUAUGAAACCAAUGAUGAAAAUGUACCUUGGUGCACCCCUCAACAAAACAGGAUGCUUUCUCUGAGUUCUUGUAUAUGCAAAUCAUGUGUGAGGCAAGCUUUCAGGAGACCUUGAGAGCAAAAUGUUGGAAGUAUGUUGUUAGCCCUCCUCCUUUUCUGCCCCUGCAUCAACAGACAGAGCUCUGGGACUUUGGCCAUGACUCAGAGGUUUGGGCUUUCUAAGUAAAGGGACAUUUCUUUAAGCGUCAUCUAUCAAGUUUAUUUCAAUGUAUGAUGUUUUUACAACUGGUCAGUUCUUUUGUAUUCUUACAGCUAUGGUUAUUUGAUUGUCCUCUUACAAUUUGUGCUACAUGAAAGAGUCUUUUGUUAGAAUGCAACAAACUGUCAUCUAAUGGUCAUUGGCCACAUGCACUCUUUUGAUGUAGAUUAAAAACUUUUUCAUAACUUAACCUGCUUUGAUUUGCUCUGUAUUUUCCCUGCAGCUGUAAUUGCAGAGUGCCUGUUGGAUACUUUAUAGAGUUGA